ACUCCUACGGGAGGCAGCAGUGGGGAAUAUUGGACAAUGGGCGCAAGCCUGAUCCAGCCAUGCCGCGUGAGUGAUGAAGGCCCUAGGGUUGUAAAGCUCUUUCACCGGUGAAGAUAAUGACGGUAACCGGAGAAGAAGCCCCGGCUAACUUCGUGCCAGCAGCCGCGGUAAUACGAAGGGGGCUAGCGUUGUUCGGAUUUACUGGGCGUAAAGCGCACGUAGGCGGACUAUUAAGUCAGUGGUGAAAUCCCGGGGCUCAACCCCGGAACUGCCUUUGAUUCUGGUAGUCUUGAGUUCGAGAGAGGUGAGUGGAAUUCCGAGUGUAGAGGUGAAAUUCGUAGAUAUUCGGAGGAACACCAGUGGCGAAGGCGGCUCACUGGCUCGAUACUGACGCUGAGGUGCGAAAGCGUGGGGAGCAAACAGGAUUAGAUACCCCUGUAGUCCCAUGA
rnacentral:rRNA from 1 species